UACGUAGGCGGCUUUUUAAGUCGGAUGUGAAAUCCCUGAGCUUAACUUAGGAAUUGCAUUCGAUACUGGGGAGCUAGAGUAUGGGAGAGGAUGGUAGAAUUCCAGGUGUAGCGGUGAAAUGCGUAGAGAUCUGGAGGAAUACCGAUGGCGAAGGCAGCCAUCUGGCCUAAUACUGACGCUGAGGUACGAAAGCGAUGGGGAGCAAACA
rnacentral:rRNA from 1 species